AUGGACCUGGAGCAAGGAGACACCCAGCACCCCCAGCACAUCUCCUGCACCCCCAGCACACCCCCAGCAAGCCCAACACAGCCCCAGCAAGCCCAGCACACCCCCAGCACACCCCCAGCACCCCCAGGCAGCCCCGUGCCGGGUGCGCUGCAGGAGCUGGCAGCGGGCGCAGCCCCGAGCCCUGCUCCAGGUGCCCCCCCCCCCCCCCCCCGGGGCCCGGCUCGCGGCUUUUGGAGCCGAGGGGGCCGCAGGAGGUGCGGGGGGAGCCGGGGUGCGGGGGGAGCCUGCCCAGGGACAGCCCACCCGGGGAUGCGGGAUGCGGGAUGCGGGCGGCAGCAGGUGGAGCUCGCGCUCCAGCGAACCCAGCGCGGGGAGCGCGCACCCAGCCCGCACCCAGCACGCACCCAGCCUCAGCCCCCCCCGGGCCGUGCCGGGCAGCGGGGGGGGCACCCAGGGGCUGAGCGCGGCCGGGGUUUGGUGAGGUCCUGGGGGUGCGCCCAGCCCCGAGCUGGGAGCUGCAGGGGGUUGGCACGGGGACACCCGGUGCGGGGCGCACGGUGUGGGACAUCUGGUUUGGGGACACCUGCUAUGGGGCAGCUGGUGUGGGACAAUUGGUGUGGGGCACCAGCUGUGGGGCAGCUGCGAGAAGCAGCACACACCGCACGGGGACAUCCCCACACCCACGGAGGAGCCGCUUGGUGCAGUGCCCACGGGGCACAGCUCCCGCUCGGGCAUGCCAGGCACAGCGAGCAGGACCAGGAGCUUCCCUGGCCCCUCCUGGCAGGGUGCUGCUGCCCCAGGGCUUGGGGCUGGGUGCUGUGGGUGCAGACCAGCCCCGUGCGUCCCUUCCCCUGCAGGCAGCGCGGGAGGGAAGCAGCCAAACCAAAGCGCCGUGUUUAUUUUCCCCCCGGUAAGCAGCAUUUUGACAUGUCACAGCAAGUCUCUCAAACACGUGUUGACAGAAAAUGUGUACAAGCAGGAGAAAUGUUGUUCAUUUGCAUCAAAUUGCAAAGUGAUUCCGUGAAAUUGAUAUGUGGCAUUUCGCUCGCGUCUGCAGGUACCGCAGGUUCCUCCGGCACCGUGAGCCAGGAGCCACCGAGGGCUCCCAUGAGGGUGGCUCAGCCCAUGGGGCUUGUGGGGACCCUGAGUGCCCCCCAAUGUCCCAAAGCACCCCGGUGCUGGCUGCGGAGCUGCCAAGGGACCAGAGGAGGCAGGCAGGACACUGCUGGGCACGCCACUCCCCAGCCUUCUGGGCUGUUCCCCCCUCCCCAGCCCUCUCCUGCCCUGCCCAACCCUUCCAGGGGUCCCUGGAGCUGCCCGGGUGUCCCUGCGGAUGCCCAGGGUCUGGCGCUGUGGCUGUGA
rnacentral:lncRNA from 1 species